AGUGAACGCUGGCGGUAGGCCUAACACAUGCAAGUCGAACGGCAGCACAGGAGAGCUUGCUCUCUGGGUGGCGAGUGGCGGACGGGUGAGGAAUACAUCGGAAUCUACUCUGUCGUGGGGGAUAACGUAGGGAAACUUACGCUAAUACCGCAUACGACCUACGGGUGAAAGCAGGGGACCUUCGGGCCUUGCGCGAUUGAAUGAGCCGAUGUCGGAUUUGCUAGUUGGCGGGGUAAAGGCCCACCAAGGCGACGAUCCGUAGCUGGUCUGAGAGGAUGAUAAGCCACCCUGGAACUGAGACACGGUCCAGACUCCUACGGGAGGCAGCAGUGGGGAAUAUUGGACAAUGGGCGCAAGCCUGAUCCAGCCAUACCGCGUGGGUGAAGAAGGCCUUCGGGUUGUAAAGCCCUUUUGUUGGGAAAGAAAUCCAGCUGGCUAAUACCCGGUUGGGAUGACGGUACCCAAAGAAUAAGCACCGGCUAACUUCGUGCCAGCCGCCGCCGUAA
rnacentral:rRNA from 1 species